rnacentral:rRNA from 1 species
UACGUAGGUGGCGAGCGUUGUCCGGAUUUAUUGGGUUUAAAGGGUGCGUAGGCGGCCUAAUAAGUCAGUGCUGAAAUAUCCCGGCUCAACCGGGAGGGUGGCAUUGAUACUGUAAGGCUUGAGUAAAGUCGAGGUAGGCGGAAUUGACGGUGUAGCGGUGAAAUGCUUAGAUAUCGUCAAGAACUCCGAUAGUGAAGACAGCUUACUAGACUUUAACUGACGCUGAGGCACGAAAGUGUGGGGAUCAAACAGG